GGAAUGGAUGGCAUUUCACUAACAAUGGGAAAUACUCGGUUCAAUCAGGUUAUCAAGUGGAACAGGUCUAUCCUGAUAAGGAAAAACCACAAAAAUUUUAUGGUCCCAUAGUGGAUAUACUAAAAGCGUUCUGCUGGAAAGUGCGGUGCCCCCCGAAAAAUAAAGCAUUUCUUAUGACAAAUCCUUUCAGGAUGUAUAGCGGUAAUGAAAAAUCUAAAAGCGAGAGGAAUACAAGGGGAUAUAUGUUGUGCUCGAUGUGGAGAUCCGGAAGAAUCAAUAAACCAUGUGUUUUUUGAAUUUCCUCCAGCACGUCAAGUGUGGGCAUUAUCUAAGAUACCAUCGAAUCCUAAUAUUUUUCCUUUUAGUUCUUUGUUCGCUAACAUGGAUCAUCUUUUUUGGAGAGUCAAUCCAAAGAUGGAUGACCACCAAUUUGCAUGGAUAUUAUGGUAUAUAUGGAAAGGUCGGAAUAACAAAGUGUUUAGCAAUCUGGAUAUUGAUCCAAGGAACACACUUAAAAUAGCAGAAUUGGAAUCAUCACUUUGGGCUGAGGCACAUGUAGUAAAUGGUCAAACGAGGGGGCAUCUAGUACAGACCAGACCCACACCAGUGACUUCAGGACGAUGGUGCUUCGUAGAUGGUUCAUGGAAAGAUAAGUAUUUAUUUUCAGGGCAAGGCUGGCAUAGCACUUUACCGGGCUUUGAUGGUUUAUUAGGGACAAGGAAUGUAAAGACAUGUCUUUCACCUCUUCAUUCAGAGGUGGAGGCAUUAAUUUGGGCUAUGGAAUGUAUGAAGAAUUUAAGACAGUUUCAGGUUACGUUUGCAACGGAUUUUUCUCAAUUGGUGAAGUUGGUUUCGGAACCAGAAGAAUGGCCGGCAUUUGAGAGUUACCUGGAAGACAUUAACCUUUUAAAAAUAAGCUUCCUCAACUAAGACAUUGUUCAUGUACGCUGGACGGAGAACAUACGGGCGGAUAGCUUAGCACGCAGUGCUUGGAAACAACCUUCUUUCGUCGUUCACAUGAAUGCGGAGUUAUCGGUUUGGUUUACAGACUCAUGUUGACUCUGUAAAUGUUUGUUGUAAAAAAAAAAGGUUGAUUUUUUCUAGUAAACUAAUACAAGAAUAAUUCACUUCUUCCAGAAAAUUUAGUUUUGGAGCAUUCAAGACUGAUUCAGUUAGGUUGGAUUUUUUUUGUUUUUGUUUAUAGCAUUCAAGAGUAAUCCAGUUAGGUUUGUAUAAAAUCGAAUUUAAUAAAAAAAUCCUCUCCUGAGGCGACACGUCAGCAGGUACGUGGGUCCCACCUUUAAAAAAAAAUGUCGAAACAUGGGUCAUCGGUUUCAUCUGUAUUUUGGGUCUUUGCACAUUUCUUUCCUGGGCUUCUCGGGCCCGUUACCGUCCUUAUGGGGGUCGGCUUUGGCAGAUUAGGGUUGUCGUCUUUCUUCGUUUGAGGGCUGAGGGCGCUUCCUCUUCCAGAGUUCAUUUUUGUUACUCGAUCAUUAUGAACCUACACAUGAUCUCUGCCGACAUCGCGAAUCAUCUUCCUGCAACGGAUUCUCCAGCUUCCUAUAUAUCGAGAUUGUCUAUGACUCUAUGGAGAGAAAUAACUGCCUCGUUAUAUUAUAGAUUUAUAAAUCUACUCAACCACAAACGGAUGAGGAUACAAAUCUUUGUAGAAAUGAUUUAGACGAUAGUUCGAUACACUGUCAAAAAAAAAAACAAUUGUUCAAUACAUGUACACCAGUAAUUCAUGUACUCUUGUGCUAUUAUAGUUAAAUCCAAUUGCUUAGUAAGGCUUUUAUAUUUAGUGAAAUAUUUUUUACGAAUGAUUUAGUUUUUUUGUCGAGUUAAGCUGCCUACAGCUUCUUGACUUUAGCUCGAAAGGCAUAUGUAUUUUGGUUAUAUUAUCCUAUUACUUGCUAAAACAAUUCGAUUUCUCGCAUUGUCAGAAACCAUAUUACGUUAUAUACACAUUUGAUUACAAGUUUUUAAAUAUCUGUUGACUUAAACAUUUUUCCCACUAAAAAUUCAUCAGCAUUAGCAGAGUAUUUCUAACCAAAAAAAACCAAUCAUAGGCUUACAGACUUGAAAAAAAAUUACAAUAUAAACAACAAUGAACUCAUAAAAAAUAU